rnacentral:rRNA from 1 species
AUUGAACGCUGGCGGCAUGCCUUACACAUGCAAGUCGAACGGCAGCACGGGUGCUUGCACCUGGUGGCGAGUGGCGAACGGGUGAGUAAUACAUCGGAACGUACCUUAUCGUGGGGGAUAACGCAGCGAAAGUUGCGCUAAUACCGCAUACGCCCUGAGGGGGAAAGCGGGGGACCGUAAGGCCUCGCGCGAUUAGAGCGGCCGAUGUCUGAUUAGCUUGUUGGUGAGGUAAAAGCUCACCAAGGCGAUGAUCAGUAGCUGGUCUGAGAGGACGAUCAGCCACACUGGACUGAGACACGGCCCAGACUCCUACGGGAGGCAGCAGUGGGGAAUUUUGGACAAUGGGGGCAACCCUGAUCCAGCAAUGCCGCGUGAGUGAAGAAGGCCUUCGGGUUGUAAAGCUCUUUUGUCAGGGAAGAAACAGCAGCUCUAACACAGUCAGCGAAUGACGGUACCUGAAGAAUAAGCACCGGCUAACUACGUGCCAGCAGCCGCAGUAA